rnacentral:lncRNA from 1 species
UCUCACUCAAAGCAAUACACGCCAAAGGCAUGAAAAUAAUUCUGAAAAUUUGAUUAGAAGCUGCCUCUUACAAUUGUUUCUUAUCCUUAUAUAGUAAGGAGAAAAAGAAAUAAAACCCUAAGACACUCUUCUUGGGCCUGACUUAAACACAUAAGACCCAAGCCCAAUCACACACUAAAAUAACAUAUAAGUAUUAAAAUAUAAGCCCACAACAUGGCCCAACACUCUAAAACUUAAAAGAUAAAAUAUGGCCAGAAUACAAGCCCAAACAAAACUAAAAUAAAACAAGUGUUUAAAUAAU